GCGGCUUCUUUAAAGGCAAGGCAGGCGGCGGACAGCUUGGUUGUAACCCUUUAGCGCUGGGUCGUGUGUGGCCCACCCUCGGGCUCAGGCGUUGUGGAGUGGUUGGAGGUGGUUGUAGUAUUUGGCAAAGAACUUGUCCCUGAAGGGCUCAGGAGACCUGUUUUCUCAGCUCCUAAUAUGGAAAAUUGAAGGCAUUUCUUACGAGAUGCAGAUUUUAAAGCGGGCGUAUCUACUCGAGGGGUUUGGAUUACUGCACUGCACAAGUUCCAGUAUCUCUCGGUUUUGGCUGAGAAGAGCUGUGCUUCUCACCAGCUACUGGUGAGACACUCGCCCUACAGGCAGAGUCAGUAUGGUUGUGGACAUUGACCUGCGCAGCAAAAGAAAGUGGCUAAUUUGCGCCAAUAAUAAUAAAUUAGCUUGUGUUUGAAUUAGCCAAGUGUUUGCGGUUUUGCUAACUUGGCUUCACUUUGCAUGGAGUGGGAAGUGCCUGCUUCUGAAAAGGUGACUUUUUUCCUAAUUAGAAUAGACUCCUCUUAAGGCCAUGCAGUUUUCAAAGAAAAAAGACAAGCUGGACGUUUUGUUAGUAACAAAAUGUAUCUGAAGCCUAGCGAGAAGGCAGCAUACCUCAGCGUUUUCUUCUCUGCACUUGUAAGAAAGAUCAAAGACUUUAAGACUUUCACUAUUUCUUCUACCGCUAUCUACUUACGAACUUCAAAGAGGAACCAGGAGUAUGGGAGGAGCAUGAAAGUGGACGAGGAGCGUGACCACUGAAGCACAGCGCCACAGGUUUAGGCCUCCAGAUGACUUCGGGCAGGCCUGGAUGAUAUCCGGCCUUCCACAAAAAGCUGGUGGAGCAGAGUGUUCCCUGACUUCUCCAAAGAAAGGACACUCCCUUUUGCGGUCUGCUAAGUAACAAGUGCCUUCCCAGACACUGGCCUUACCACUUGACCAAGGAGCCCUCAAGCGGCCCUUAUGCGGGCAUGACAGGAGGCUCACCUCUUGCCUUCUAGGUCACCUCUCACAAUGUCCCUUCAGCACCUGACCCUAUACCUGCUGGUUAUUCCUGGGGUAUAUUAGUAAUGCAACAAAGAGUAAUAUUAAAAGCUAAUAGUCAAUAAUGUUUAUAAUAAUGAUUGAUAAUCGUCCAUAAUCAUCUCUAUAUCUAAUUUGUAUUUUAACUAUUCUAACUGUUUUCUUUAUUAUACUGAAACAGUUGGUGCCUUCAGUCUCUUGCCUCGGCACCUAGGUAGUCCUUCGCCCACAUCCAAAUCUUGGACAACAGGAGCAUUAUAAAAGAUAAUGGAGAGCUUUUUCAGAAUGUUGAAUUUAGGAGUUGUGUGUGCUUUUGAUCUUCAUGUCAAUCCAUAAACAAUAAAUCUUGUUCUUAAAUUUGAA